GGAAGUGGCUUUGAAGCGGCAAGAAUUAGACGGGGUGGCUCGACACCACCAGUCUUGUUUUUUUCUUUCUUUUUCUCCC
rnacentral:pre_miRNA from 14 species